AUUGAACGCUGGCGGCAGGCCUAACACAUGCAAGUCGAGCGGAGCGGCGGACGGGUGAGUAAUGCCUAGGAAUCUGCCUGGUAGUGGGGGAUAAAGUCCGGCAACGGGCGCUAAUACCGCAUACUAUCAGAUGAGCCUAGGUCGGCUUAGCUAGUUGGUGGGGUAAAGGCCUACCAAGGCGACGAACCGUAGCUGGUCUGAGAGGAUGAUCAGUCACACUGGAACUGAGACACGGUCCAGACUCCUACGGGAGGCAGCAGUGGGGAAUAUUGGACAAUGGGCGAAAGCCUGAUGCAGCCAUGCCGCGUGUGUGAAGAAGGUCUUCGGGUUGUAAAGCACUUUAAGUGGGGAGGCGUUACCCGCAGAAUAAGCACCGGCUAACUCCGUGCCAGCAGCCGCGGUAAUAC
rnacentral:rRNA from 1 species